GGGCAAUUAGAUCAGUGGUAGAUCGUCUGUUUCGCAUACAGAAGGCCCUCGGUUCAAUCCCGAGAUUGUCCA
rnacentral:tRNA from 1 species